UACGGGGGGAGCAAGCGUUGUUCGGAUUUACUGGGCGUAAAGGGCGCGUAGGCGGUCAGCACAAGUCAGUUGUGAAAUCUCCGGGCUUAACUCGGAAAGGUCAACUGAUACUGUGCGACUAGAGUGCGGAAGGGGCAACUGGAAUUCCUGGUGUAGCGGUGAAAUGCGCAGAUAUCAGGAGGAACACCGGUGGCGAAGGCGGGUCUCUGGGCCGUAACUGACGCUGAGGAGCGAAAGCAUGGGGAGCAAACAGG
rnacentral:rRNA from 1 species